rnacentral:lncRNA from 1 species
AAAUGACGUCAUUUUGGAAAACUCCAAAACGACGUUGUUUUGAUAAAAAAAAAAAGCACAACUAGAGGCAUGUUCGCCUUUAGGAUGAAGAAGAAGCUAGGACAUGCACGCUGAAGAAGAAGAAAGAAGAGGCAUGCAGGGCUCUCUGUCCCCGCACCUAUUAAAGGAAAAAAAGAAGAAAUCGAGAAGAAGGAAGAGAAACAAAGUCAAAUGAGUAGAGAGAGAGUGAGUCGCAAAAAGAGAGAAAAUAGAGAGGGAGAAAGAGUUGGAGGGAACAUAUCAAAUCGGCAGCGAGGUGGGUUUAGUAUGUAUAGCGUGCGGUACGACAGAGAGGCCCAUAACUUGAAGGCCAGAGAGAGAGAAGGCACGAUCAUGCGUGUAGAGAAGAAGGAGAACUGCAGCGAUGGCCAGGCAUGGUUCCACACAUCCACACCUUUCUCCGGUGUGAUUUUGCCAUAUCCGAGCCAGAUCUACGUGUGCGGCUCGUUUUGUGAUGAUGUCCAGCAGAAGCAUGGUGCCACAUGGGUGGUUUUGGUGAUGCAUGCUGGUUUUAGACACUGAGCAUAAGGUGGCAUGUGACACUCCGAUGACAGCACGUGGUAAACUGAGAGCUAAUGGUGGUGGCGUGUAGUGAUUCUCGUGACCGGGAUCGCGUGUCUAUGGUAAAAU